rnacentral:misc_RNA from 1 species
AACGCACAUUGCGCCCUUUGGCAUUCCGAGGGGCAUGCCUGUUCGAGCGUCAUUAACAACCAUCAAGCCUGGCUUGCCGUUGAGCCCCGCCCGUGACAGGGCGGGCUCGAAAGACAGCGGCGGCGUCGGUCGGACCCUAGAUGCAACGAGCUCUGAGUAGCACGCAUCGACCUGGCCGGCCGCGCCCGUCCCACCCCUUUUUAUCUCAGGUUGACCUCGGAUCAGGUAGGAAUACCCGCUGAACUUAA